CCCAGACUCCUACGGGAGGCAGCAGUGGGGAAUAUUGCACAAUGGGGAAACCCUGAUGCAGCAACGCCGCGUGAGUGAGGAAGUAUUUCGGUACGUAAAGCUCUAUCAGCAGGGAAUAGAAAAGAAGGUACCUGAAAAAGAAGCCCCGGCUAACUACGUGCCAGCAGCCGCGGUAAUACGUAGGGGGCGAGCGUUAUCCGGAUUCACUGGGUGUAAAGGGAGCGUAGACGGCCAAGCAAGCCAGGGGUGAAAGCCCGGGGCCCAACCCCGGGACUGCCCUUGGAACUGCAUGGCUGGAGUGCGGGAGGGGCAGGCGGAAUUCCUGGUGUAGCGGUGAAAUGCGUAGAUAUCGGGAGGAACACCAGUGGCGAAGGCGGCCUGCUGGACAUUAACUGACGCUGAGGCGCGAAAGCGUGGGGCGCAAACAGGAUUAGAUACCCCCGUAG
rnacentral:rRNA from 1 species